rnacentral:rRNA from 1 species
UGGGGAAUAUUGCACAAUGGGCGCAAGCCUGAUGCAGCCAUGCCGCGUGUGUGAAGAAGGCCUUCGGGUUGUAAAGCACUUUCAGCGGGGAGGAAGGCGAUAAGGUUAAUAACCUCAUCGAUUGACGUUACCCGCAGAAGAAGCACCGGCUAACUCCGUGCCAGCAGCCGCGGUAAUACGGAGGGUGCAAGCGUUAAUCGGAAUUACUGGGCGUAAAGCGCACGCAGGCGGUCUGUCAAGUCGGAUGUGAAAUCCCCGGGCUCAACCUGGGAGCUGCAUUCGAAACUGGCAGGCUAGAGUCUUGUAGAGGGGGGUAGAAUUCCAGGUGUAGCGGUGAAAUGCGUAGAGAUCUGGAGGAAUACCGGUGGCGAAGGCGGCCCCCUGGACGAAGACUGACGCUCAGGUGCGAAAGCGUGGGGAGCAAACAGG